CUAAAUAGUACUACCCGGGUAGUCCACGACCGUAAACGAUGAUGGCUGGGUGUUGGCGAUACACGUGUCGAGCGCCUGAGCGAAAGCAUUAAGCCAUCCACCUGGGGGAGUACGAUCGCAAGGUUGAAACUCAAAGGAAUUGACGGGGGCCCGCACAAGCGGAGGAACAUGUGGUUUUAAUUCGAUGAUACGCGAGGAACCUUACCUGGGCUCGAACGCCCACCGACGGCACCGGAGACGGUGCUCUCCAGCGAUGGCGGUGGGCGAGGUGCUGCAUGGUUGUCGUCAGCUCGUGCCGUGAGGUGUCGGGUUAAGUCCCAUAACGAGCGCAACCCUUACUGCCAGUUGCCAUCGGGUGAAGCCGGGGACUCUGGCGGGACUGCCGGCGUAAGCCGUGAGGAGGGGUGGGGAUGACGUCAAAUCAGCACGGCCCUUACGUCCAGGGCUACACACGUGUUACAAUGGCCGGUACAGAGGGCAGCCACCCCGGCGAGGGGGCGCCAACUCCCGGAAACUCCGGUCCCAGUUCGGAUUGGGGUCUGCACCGACCCAUG
rnacentral:rRNA from 1 species